GACGAACGCUGGCGGCGUGCUUAACACAUGCAAGUCGAACGGAAAGGCCCUGCUUGCUGGGUACUCGAGUGGCGAACGGGCGAGUAACACGUGGGUGAAUUGCCCUGCACUUCGGGAUAAGCUUGGGCAACUGGGUCUAAUACCUGAUAGGAGACAUCUUUAGCGUGGUGGUUGGAAAGUUUUUUCGGUGUUGGAUGAGCUCGCGGCCUAUCUGCGAGUUGGUGGGGUAAUGGCCUACCAAGGCGGCGACGGGUAGCCGGUCUGAGAGGGUGAACGGCCACACUGGAAGUGAGACACGGUCAAGACUCCUACGGGAGGCAGCAGUGGGGAAUAGUGGACAAUGGGCGCAAGCCUGAUGCAGCAAUACCGCGUGGGUGAAGAAGGCCUUCGGGUUGUAAAACCCUGUUGUUGGGGAAGAAAAGCAGCGGAAGAAUACGCCGCUGUUGUGACGGUACCCAAAGAAAAAGCACCGGCUAACUACGUG
rnacentral:rRNA from 1 species